CAUUGCCAGACCACUGCCUUUUUCAUGGGUCACACACAGCGUCCUUGCCUUGCGAUGCACUUGACGGGCUUUGAGGAUUUGUACCUUUGGGCUAAUCUCCGGAGCUUGGGAUAUCUUCUGUAUGCCACUCUGAAGUGCCAAUGUAAUUGGCAUAAGUGGGUGGAGGGGGACUAUUUAAAAUUAACUAGGUGAAGGUCUACCCAAAACUAGAACCAGCAGGGAGGGAGUUACCUCAAAACUUUACUGAAUGUUGUCUAUAAAAAGUAAAUGUACACAGCAUCAUAUGAUAUCA